rnacentral:rRNA from 1 species
CCUGGUUGAUCCUGCCAGUAGUCAUAUGCUUGUCUCAAAGAUUAAGCCAUGCAUGUGUAAGCACACACUGUUUUAAAAGUGAAGCCGCGAAUGGCUCAUUACAACAGCCACAGUUUAUUAGAACUUACAAUCAUGGAUAACUGUGGUAAUUCUAGAGCUAAUACACGCACAAAAACUUCAACUGAAUUGGUUGAAGUGCUUUUAUUAGAACAAAAACCGAACGGCGUUUGGCGAAUGUUGAACGUCGAAACUGUUUGGUGAAUCUGAAUAACUAUUUCUGAUCGCAUGGUCUAGCACCGGCGACAUCACUUUCAAGUGUCUGCCUUAUCAACCUUCGAUGGUAGUCUAUGCGACUACCAUGGUGAUAACGGGUAACGGAGAAUCAGGGUUCGACUCCGGAGAGGGAGCCUGAGAAACGGCUACCACAUCCAAGGAAGGCAGCAGGCGCGCAAAUUACCCACUCCCAGCUUGGGGAGGUAGUGACGAAAAAUAACGAGACGAUUCUCGUUUGAGAAACGUUAUCGAAAUGAGUACGCUUUACACACGCUAACGAGUAGCAAUUGGAGGGCAAGUCUGGUGCCAGCAGCCGCGGUAAUUCCAGCUCCAAUAGCGUAUAUUAAAGUUGCUGCGGUUAAAACGCUCGUAGUUGAAUUGUGGUCUUAGACAACAGUCCCCUACAUAGGUGUGGCACGGUUGCUCGAGAUCUUCAUUCGUGGUUGCUGUUGUUGCUCUUCAUUGAGUGUCAAUGGUGCCUCGAGAUUUUACUUUGAAAAAAUUAGAGUGCUCAAAGCAGGUUGUGAUGCCUGAAUAAUGGUGCAUGGAAUAAUAGAAUACGAUCUCGGUUCUAUUUUGUUGGUUUUCGAACCGGAGAUAAUGAUUGAAAGGAACAGACGGGGGCAUUCGUAUUGCUGCGUUAGAGGUGAAAUUCUUGGAUCGCAGCAAGAUGAACAAUUGCGAAAGCAUUUGCCAAGAAUGUUUUCAUUAAUCAAGAACGAAAGUUAGAGGUUCGAAGGCGAUCAGAUACCGCCCUAGUUCUAACGGUAAACUAUGCCAACCAGCGAUUCGCCGAAGUUCAUUUAAGACUCGGCGAGCAGCUUCCGGGAAACCAAAGUGUUUCGGUUCCGGGGGAAGUAUGGUUGCAAAGCUGAAACUUAAAGGAAUUGACGGAAGGGCACCACCAGGAGUGGAGCCUGCGGCUUAAUUUGACUCAACACGGGAAAACUCACCCGGCCCGGACACUGGAAGGAUUGACAGAUUGACAGCUCUUUCUUGAUUCAGUGGGUAGUGGUGCAUGGCCGUUCUUAGUUGGUGGAGCGAUUUGUCUGGUUAAUUCCGAUAACGAACGAGACUCUACCCUAUUAAAUAGUGACAGUAUUGUAUUUUUUGUGCUGAUCACUUCUUAGAGGGACUGGCAAAUUGAAAGCUGCACGAAAAAGAGCAAUAACAGGUCUGUGAUGCCCUUCGAUGUCCGGGGCUGCACGCGCGCUACAAUGAAAGCGUCAACGUGAGUUACGUCCUUACCUGAAAAGGUUUGGCAAUCGAAUGAAACGUUUUCUUGAAUGGAAUAGGGAAUUGCAAUUGUUUCCCUUGAACGAGGAAUUCCCAGUAAGCGUGAGUCAUUAGCUCGCGUUGAUUACGUCCCUGCCCUUUGUACACACCGCCCGUCGCUACUACCGAUUGGAUGAUUUAGUGAGGUGUUUUGACUGGCGCCAGUAGUCGGAUGUAUUCGGCUUCGCGCCGGGAAAUUUCCCAAACCAAAUCAUCUAGAGGAAGUAAAAGUCGUAACAAGGUUUCCGUAGGUGAACCUGCGGAAG